AUGGCGGUGGCCAGGAUCGCCGCCGUCUUGACCGUGGCGGCGCUCUUCGCCGCGGCGGGGGCAGCGGAUCCCCAACCCGCAAAGGGAGCACAUUGCUGGCGGUACUACUCUUCCUGCAUGCACAAGUGCGACGGCUACCGUGAUGCCGCCGCCCGCUCCGUCAAUCGUACUCAGCCCGCCGUCCACACAACCGUCGACGAUGGUGCAGCAGCCGCCUCCAUCCCCGUCAACUCUAUCGAUGGCACUGCAGCAAUCACACACUCCACCGAUGGCACUCUAGCCGCUGUCGACAAAACCGAUGGUGCAGUCGCCCAUAUCGCCGACGGCUACGACGACAGGGACGACGAUGACAAGGGCGACAAAAAGGAUGACGAUGACUACGGUGAUAAGAAUGACAAGGACGACGAUGAUAAGGAUGACAAGGAUGACGACGAUGAUGAUAAGGACAACAAGGACGACGACGACAACGACGAUGAUAAGGACGACGAUGAUGAGAAUGAUGAUAACGAUGACGACGACGACGACGACCACGACGACAGCCGCAGCGACUGGCGGAAGUACUUCAAAUGCAAGAAGAUGUGCAUCGUGGACUGCUACAGGAGCCUGCCGCCGGUGUGCUACAAGAUGUGCAUCUCGGAGACCUGCCUCAAUCACCCACCCUAUAAACAGGCGGAUUGCUACAAAUCAUGCGGGCACAAAUGCUUGGACCACCACCACCACCACCACCAUCACCAUCACCACCACCACCCAAGCCCGGGUCCAAAGCCCCCGAGUCCGAAGCCACCAAAGCCGGAGCCAAAGCCGACGCCACCAAAGCCCACACCUCCAAAGCCCGCUCCACCGAAGCCCAUGCCGCCACCGUCGCCCAUAUCGCCGCCGUCGCCCAUGCCGCCGAAACCAACCCCGCCGAAGCCGCUGCUAAAGCGGCCGUGCCAUCCUAAUGCACGGAAGCCAAGGCUACCGUGUCCGUCGAAGACUAACUCGAAACCGAAGGCAAAGUCGAAGCCGAAGCCACCGUGCCCGUCGUCGGCCACUGUAUCUGUGUCGACCAACACUAGCAACAACUGA
rnacentral:rRNA from 1 species